UUGCAAACUCGAUCACUAGCUCUGCAUGAUGUGGCAGAAGCAAGGGGAACAGGUUUGCUAGAGUGAAUAUGGUAACAAACAUAGUGACCUUAGAAAUAAUUGUACUAAAGGUUUUCAUUCUGUGCCAUAACAAAA
rnacentral:snoRNA from 1 species